UGAGGCAAAUAUAUUUUAUAUGAAUUUCUUAGACUUUCAGUUUUUGAAGGAAGGAUGUGUCUUUUACUGAUUCAAGUUAAUUACAUGCUUUCAUGUAUAUUCUUUCUGGCAACAGGGUCAUCCACCUGUCUCGAAAGCCUAUAGCUUUGCAGCCAAGACUCAGUAUAUAAAAUGACUGAGAGAAACAAGAGAAAAAAAAAAAAAAAAACAAAAAACACGCAAAACACAAAUAUCAAUAGCAAAGGUUAGAACAGGCUCCUGAACAGAGACCCGGGCCCCAGCGCUCAGCCCGCCUCCGCCGCUAGGGCCCCGCCCCUCGCAGAGGCGGGGCAAAGGCCCGGAAGGGGCGGGGCCCGGAGCGCCAACCGCCCGCCGGAAGGAGCUGGGCUUUCUUUUGCGCGCGGCCGGCGAUGGCGGAGGGUCCUCGAGGCACCGUCGCCGAGCGGGCCCGGCGGCAGCGUCUGCGGGCCAGUCGCUGGGCUCUUCGAGGUGGGAGUCCUCGCGGUCUUAGUUCCCCCCGUUCCUGCCGGGAGCCCGACUCAGUGCCUCGGGCUUGCUGCCCUGGGGCGUCCGGGGCCUCCGCCGCGUGGCGCGAGGUGGUCUCUGGAGGCCGCGGUCUCCUUGUCCGCCGCCCUCAGUCGACGCGGCCCCACCUAACUUCCCGGUGCUUGGCUCGGCCGCAUUUUCUGAGUAACCCGACGGGAGUCUUACUCCUCCCCGUAGUAGACUCCGCUUUCAGCUGUUCUAAGCUCAAAGAUUCAUCGGGGGCCCUCGGGUUCGGGUGGUUCCGAGGCGGCGGAGGGUGCGGCGGGUGCGUGCGGCGCUCCUCGCGGCGCUUCUGCGGAGCCCCCCGGUUUCCCAGCCAAGCCUGGUGCGGCCUGGACGGCUUAGGGUCUCCUGCGGGGGUGAGCACUUGCCCUAGCGAAGGAGCAUCUUCUACAAGGGGGAAGGGACUGUCUCUGGGAGCCUGUGACGUGAAGAUGAAUGAAGGUUGUCCUGUUUUCCAGAAACCACUUAGAGGAUGGCCGUGAUAAAACACUAGGAGCGUAACUGCAUGUAAUGAGGUAGCUGCAGAUGAAUAUUCUCAUCCAUAACUUUUGUGAUUGAAAUUCUUCGUUGCUUCAA
rnacentral:lncRNA from 1 species